rnacentral:tRNA from 1 species
AUAAGUAUAGUUAAAUAAUAAUACUAGACCGUGACUCUAGAAUUAAAAGUUAAAGCCUUUUUACUUAUC